AUUUUAUCAUGAAGGGUUUCAGUUUUUGAUCUUUUAGUGUGAUAUCGGCUGUUGAUUUUUCAUAGAGGGCCUUUGAGCUCAUUGAUCAUUUUAACUGUCAGUUUCUUAAAUUCUUUUCAAGAAUUUUAUCACUAUCUGUGGGAUUUGCUUCUGGGGACUUGGGAAUUUUUGGAGGCAUCUUAUUGCCUUAUUUUCUGAUUAUAGUUGUAUUUCUGUUGAAGUUUACACAUUAAUUGGGCAGGAUAUCUCUUCCACUGUCUUAUGGGGGUCUUUUUAGUAAGUGAAUUUCUCCUUGUGCUGUGGCUUGGGUUGUGGGUUUGUAUGAAUGUUUCCACCCAUCUGAUCUGGAUACUAAGUUUCACCCCUAGCACAUGGUAGCUCAAAAUUGGCAGUAUAUGUGUAUCAAAUAUGUUAAAGAACAAAACAGAGAUUCAGUAUGAGCUCAGACAGGCUGGAAUAGUGGGCUGUAGCAACCUCUUCACAGCGCAGAAAAGAGGAGCUGCUGCUGAGCGAUUUGCCCUCUAUUGCUGAGUGGAAGGAGCCAGGGAUAGGUCAAUGUGGUUUUUAAAAUUAUUUUCACAGGGUUGUGCAUCACCACAAACUAAUUUUAGACCAUUUUUGUCCCCUGCUAAGAAAAACUUCAUACCCAUCAGCUGUUAUUCUCCAGUCCUCCCAACUGUACCCCUAUCCCCUGAUAACCACUAAUCUACUUUUGGUCUCUACAGACUUGCCUAUUCUGAUUGUUUCAUGUAAGUGGAAUCAUACAGUUUGCCCUCUUUUCUGGCUGGCUUUUUUUCAGUUAUAUUUUCAGAGUUCAUCUAUAUUGUAGCUUAUGUUAGUACUUAAUUACUUUUUAUUGCUAAAUAAGAUUCUCUUAUGUGUAUACACCCCAACACCUCCAUUCAUCAGUUGAUGAAAUUUGGGCUUUUUAUGAGCAUCUGUUCUAAGUGUCUUCCAAGAUUGUGUUUUUAAAAUUUUUUCUUUGCAAUUUAUUUAGUUGGGAAACUGGUUUGUCCUCAGUUUUCAGUCUGAGGUGUCAUUUCAAAACAUUUUCAUGUGCAGUUAUGUUUCCUCUUAAUGUUUAGAUCUAAAGGCUCAAUCCAGACAGAGGUUUGAUAUUUCUUGUCAAGAAUGUUUGACAGGCAUACUGUCUUCUUUCACUAAAAGGCUUAUAACAUUAGGGCAUUGAUUUUGCUAUGUUAGCAGACACUAUCAUUGUUUAGCUCUAUUAAUUUACUAGGGGUAUCAAACUUGAGGUCUAUUUCUCAAGAAAUUAAUCUGAAAUCUUUUUUUUUGUAUUACAGUUUCAAAUUUAUUACUCUUUGGCUAUGGGGAAAUGACAUAAACAUGCCAUUGUGUGCCUUACUGGAUUAUUCCUAUGGACAGACAGAAUCCCAGAGCAAUAAACUUCCAGCUGGACAGCCAAAUGAAGAUCUUUGCACAGAUGGAAGAUGGCCCAGUGACUCCUCAGUGCUGCCAUUGCGCCUACUGACCAUUAACCUCCAGUGAUAACCACUAACAUCAUAGUCCAGAGACCUUUCCUGAUCCCUCAUUGACCUGCAUUUCUUCUGGCAUCCCUGGCCCAGAUGACUGCCAUUAGCAACUCAAGGAUUCAGAGAACCUCCAGGACUCCCUCAAUCUGUUUUCUACAAGUUCAUGGAUACUUCUGUAAUGCCACCUCCCUGAGUUUCCAACAAGCCAUGCUGAUCCACAAAACACCAGUGAUAAUUCCAUUGGCAUUCACUGUGCAACAAGCACUUCCUUAACUUCUGACUAAACACUAAAUCCUAAUCACCCCCAAAUUACUUUUCCUGUCUUUUCAUUGACUUCCUGGUGAUUGUCAUUAAUAUCCACUGACUUCAACUUAAUGAUCACACCUGACCCCAUUGGAACACUUAAAUAGUCCACAGUGACCCCCCACUGACCCCACUAUAAGUGAAACACCCCUACCUGUUUGAUCUUGCUCAUCCAUUUAGAUACCUGCAACUGAAACUAGAGUCUGCAGGCCAAAAAAUAAGUUGAAUUUUAAAAAUUGUGACAGGAAAAUUAUAUGAAAUUCAAGGCUCGGUGAUCAAAUAAAACCAUAAAUAGUUUUAUUUGAAUAUAGCAACUGUUUUUUACAUAAUGUCUGUCUACUUCAGUGCUGCCUCAUCAGAACGAAGUAGCUGAGACAGAGACCAGAGACAGCAAGGCCAAAACCACUUCCUACCCAGCCUUUUCUUUUUUUCUUUCUUUUUUAAACAAAGGUGGCCUUCCCUAACACUCUUAUGACCUCUAAUGAAUUAAACUGACAUGUUACCAAUGACCCUGUUGAUCCUCCAGUGACUUAAAGAACAACUCCAGUCCACAAUUACCCUCUGACACUACAAUCUCAAACUGGUGUCCACUGACUGCACCUUUAAUGACACCCCUCAGAAUUCCCUGAGGCCAGUGAGGCACUAACCCAUCCACUCAGGCCUGUCCUUGACAGAUUCUCGCAGCCAUCCACUGCAGCCUCCCCUCCAGGUCCCCCAGAACUGGGACAGCCGCUGCUGGAUGUGGGGGCAGAUAAAGCCCUUUAAAAGUGUGGAGAACAUCUCGAACCCUGGAACCCAUUUUCAGUGACUCAGUUCUCAGUUUCCCAGAAACUAAGGGCUGAGAUCGUAAGACUGGAUCCCGGCGUACCAAGUUUCUCCAGCAGAUCCCGAAUAAAGAUUGACUCUUAGGAAAUGCACAGAUCCAGACGCUUCUGGUUCCCCUCCAUCUUUAUAAACAAAGGGUGGUUUCCUCUCAGUCACCCCCCUCCUCGGACUUUCCUCCGAUCCAGCUGCAGCGACAGCGU